GCUGGGUUAGGUCAGUUGGUUAGAGCAUGGUGCUAAUAACACCAAGUUCACAGGUUCAAUCCCUGCUUACUGCA
rnacentral:tRNA from 1 species